AAACCAACAGGGAUUCCCCUAGUAACGGCGAGUGAAGCGGGAAGAGCUCAAAUUUGAAAUCUCACUGGUUUCCAGUGCGAAUUGUAGUUUCAAGAAGCGUUUUCGGGGACGACUUGGGUCCAAGUCUGUUGGAACGCAGCGCCAGAGAGGGUGAGAGCCCCGUUCGGCCCGAUGUUCGUUCCUGUAUGAUACGUUUUCAAAGAGUCGCAUAGUUUGGGAAUGCUGUGCAAAGUGGGUGGUAAAUAUCAUCUAAAGCUAAAUAUUGGCGAGAGACCGAUAGCGAACAAGUACCGUGAGGGAAAGAUGAAAAGAACUUUGAAAAGAGAGUUAAAUAGUACGUGAAAUUGUCAAAAGGGAAACGCUUGGAACCAGUAUUGGGCCUAGAUUAUCAGCCGCAAGGUGCACUAGUCUAGGUCCGGGUCAGCAUCAGUUUGGUUUGGAGUAAAAAGCCAGUGGAAGGUAGCUUCGGUGUUAUAGCCGCUGGUCAUGCUCUGAACUGGACUGAGGUCUGCAGCCGCCUUGGGGAAUAUGCCGCCUCGAAACACGCAUUGGUAGACAACUUGUUGACUGCUGGUGUUGUGCUAGAGCACGGUAUAGUACCACUACCGGCUUAGGAUGUUGACGAAAUGGUUCUAAACGAC
rnacentral:rRNA from 1 species